UACGUAGGGUGCAAGCGUUGUCCGGAAUUAUUGGGCGUAAAGAGCUCGUAGGCGGUUUGUCGCGUCUGCUGUGAAAACUCGGGGCUUAACUCCGGGCCUGCAGUGGGUACGGGCAGACUAGAGUGCGGUGGGGGAGACUGGAAUUCCUGGUGUAGCGGUGAAAUGCGCAGAUAUCAGGAGGAACACCGGUGGCGAAGGCGGGUCUCUGGGCCGUAACUGACGCUGAGGAGCGAAAGCAUGGGGAGCGAACAGG
rnacentral:rRNA from 1 species